UAAGGGAGGAGGUAAGUAACUAGGUGCCCUGGGAAAGGGGGGUGGGGUGCAUAUGGCACCAGAGGGGUGUUCUCAUCUCAGCAGACCUUCUGACCUUAGCUCUGAAAUCUUUCCACCCGACUAGCUAAGUUCCCAUGGCAGGUCUCGUCCACGCCAGCCCCAUGCAUCUAAAUUCUGUGGCUGACCGGAACUCAGUUGAGUCACCGAGUAAAGGAAAACACCACACAGUCUUAGUUCAGAAUCAACUGGUAAAACGAUCGCUGGGAGCAACAACUACUAUCCUAUCAUUAGUGUCCUUAAAAGAGACAAGAAUGCUCACCCAUUAGCUCCAGCAGACACACAGCCAUGAAAGAAGAGGACAGGGUAACGUCUACAACACGGGAGAAGAUCCUUCCAUACAACCAGUCCCUGGCAGACUUUCACUGUAGACUGGUGAGUCUCCAGCACUCGGAGAAAAUAACUCUGUUCUUCAAGAUCGGUCCAGUCUGUGAUAUUUUGCCAUGGCAGCCUGAGAACACCAAGACAGAUGGUAAUUAAUUUGAUCUGCCAGAAAGGUCAGAUAUGGCAAAUUAAAGCUCUAAAUUAGCCAUAAA